GACGUAGGGUGCGAGCGUUGUCCGGAUUUAUUGGGCGUAAAGAGCUCGUAGGCGGCUUGUUGCGUCGACUGUGAAAACCCGAGGCUUAACCUCGGGCCUGCAGUCGAUACGGGCAGACUAGAGUUCGGUAGGGGAGACUGGAAUUCCUGGUGUAGCGGUGAAAUGCGCAGAUAUCAGGAGGAACACCGGUGGCGAAGGCGGGUCUCUGGGCCGAUACUGACGCUGAGGAGCGAAAGCGUGGGGAGCGAACAGG
rnacentral:rRNA from 1 species